UCCCCACUCCCCAGUUCCUCAACAGCUCGUGAGUGUUGAGCGGCAGUUUUGACGGUGAAUGGCGGGCGGCACCUGGCUUGGUGGUCGGCGGCAUGAUGCUCAGCGGGUUAGAUCGGCGAGAAUGGAUUCAGACGCGAAGCAUUUUGAGCAGGCGCGUGGCCUCGAUGUCGGGGCAGCGCAGCAGGUGGUGGUCGCGGCGGCGCUGCAAGUGGUGGUCGCGACCGCACUGCUAGUGGUGGUCACGGCGGCGUUGGUUCGACCACGGUCGCCACGGACUGUAGAAGGACGAGCAUCCCGCGCCGCCACCGGUAUUUAAGUGUCCUCCGUAAUUCCCUUUGGAUCUCAUUCUGUGCUGCCUCAUUUCUUGCACACGAGGUGUUUGUUUUAAUGCCUGAAUGGGAACUGCUACUGACAAUGUGCUCAAAGGAGACUCUUAACAGCGAUAUAUUGAUAGGUAUGCCAUGAUUGAUUAUCUUGUUGUUUGUUUCAUCUUUGUACAAUUACUGAUUUUGGAAUCUUAUGUUGCAUAUAUAUCUGCCAUAUAGUUUAUGAUGUCCAAUAAGGUUAGCUCUGCAUUAGGAUGCUUAUUACCUCACUAGUCCAGCCAAAGCUAAGCAUGUCUGCGUAUGAAAAGAUCCAUCUAGCAUCAGUCUCCUUCUCAAUGUUCAGUUUACAUCCUUAAUUUCACGAUAAUGCUUCUUGUAGUAACCUUGGAGGUGAUUUUUUUUUGGAAAGCCAUGAUGGAUGUUGGGAGUCGUUGCCGAGAGUAUGCAGGCAUUUAUUUCUUUAAAUCUACAAAAGCUAACAAACAUAAAACAGAAGCUACCAAAGAAAAUUCAGUUUAAAGAAAGAUGCAUCAGUCCACCUUGGUCUUUUAUGCUGAGUUCAUCAGUCAACUCCUUUAUUCUUCCAUGUUGCUCGCUUGACACUGUCUUCAAAUCUGUAAGCUUAUUUAUUUUUAUUCUGCAAGCUUUCUCUGAUUAAACAAUAUCUCAACAUGUUUCUCCAAAUUGCGUACUUCCAUUCUUGCACCUUCCAGCUCAACAGAAAAUUGUUUUGCAUAAGAUUCAGCUUCCCUUUUCUGAGAUGCAAUCUCUGAUCCGAUUGUGCUAAUUUGCACAUCUUUUUCCUGAAGUUCCUGCUGCAACUAAAGAACAAUCUCCUUAGUUCAUUUGUGUUGCCUUCUUUUACUACGCCAAGUAGUUUUUACAGACGCACCUAAUUGCUCAACUACUGAUUUUACAUAUGGUCAUAUGAAAAUAAAUGGUUCUACCCAGCAGAAUUGCUCGAGUUAUCAGGAGACAUUCCAGUCAUUCCUUCAAUCUCAGAACCAUACCGAAGAUCAUUGCAAUCAGUGGGAUUCAUGAUGCUAUGUUUCCUAUUUUUUUCCUUGGGCUCAUUCUGUGACUAUUUUUCUAUUUGAUGGAUGUUACUUGCCGUGUGUCGUCGUUCCUUGGUUAUUAGAUGUGUUUUGCUGCAUGAGGAGUUUUGCAUCCUGGGUUGCACUUGUUAUGUUCUGUUCCGGAGUUCCUGUAAGAGCUGGUACCCAGCAAACUAUCGCUUUUGUUAAAGCAGGGAUCGAACCUUUUGUCCAAAAAGGAACACUCCAUUUUUUCCAUUGGUGGGUGGUCAUCGAUUCGCAGUAGGCCAACUAGUCGUGCAACAUCGCUAGUGGUCCUCAGUGUCAGGUUUCGUUGACCGUUGGCUUGCUUAUUCAUGUGCUUUGCAUCUCCUCCCUGCAAGAUGGUCAGUAACCAGGUCUUCGCCGAUAGAGCUCUCCAGUGUCGCCCCCUCCCCAUAAAUUGGUAGGAGUAUAUGUCUAUUUAUCCGCCCAAUAUGGUUAUAUUUAUUAAAGAAGUUUAGUUAUCUGCCCAUAAGUCUGAAUCUUUAUUGACUUGUGGCUUCUUUGCUAUGGUUGAUUUUUUGUUAUUACUAGCAUGUUCUAAUAUGGACUGUCGCCUUGUGUCCCCUUGAUAACUGAUUGAAACUCCCAUCUAAAAAUUAGCAUGUACGGUCUUAUUUGUUAUGUUCCUUAAAAAAAAAUGUUCAGUACAAAUUUCAUCAUGGAUGUAAAUUAUCUUGUCAAGCUUUGAAGCUCAUAAUCUUAGAGAUUUAUGUUUACCUCUUUAGGAGGAGAUAUCACAAGUUUAAGGUUCCAUUUGUUCUUUGACAAUUUUCUCAUUUUGACCAUAUUACAUAAUUCUACUAGUUUCUGUUCACUUUGGUUCACUACUUCAUUCAGAUUCACAUAUUACAAUCUGUAGAACCUUUAUUUUUCAAUCCCUUUUUAAUGUGAUGUUCUAAUCCAAAUUAAUGUUCUGCAGACAAAGGCUACUCAGUACAGUGAUAAAGUUCUCUCCUAUAUCUUGUUCCAUGAUUUGAAUUAAUGCAAGCCUUUACCUGAUUCAUUGGAGAAAUUCAGGCCAUUAAAAUUACAUAGCUGCUCAUAUGUUAACAACCCAAAAUGCUCUCUCUUGUGCCUGGUCGUUGUAAUGUACUCCUCCGUAAACAAAUAUAAGAGCGUUUAUAUCACUACUUUAGUAAUCUAAAUGCUCUUAUAUUAGUUUACAGAGGGAGUACUUGUGUAUGUCUGCUUGGACGCUUAUUUUUACUAUCAAAUGGAUAUAUAUAUAUUAGCAAUGAGAACGGCGUCAGUCUUAUGUGUUAUACCUUUACAACAGCACAUCAUGCAUUCCCCCAUUUUGUGAUAUGAAGUUCAGACCAAAAACUUGUCAGGAUUGACUUUAAUCUCAUCCAAAAAUUCGUUCCACAUAGCCAUAAAUGUUCCUGUUAGUUAUCAGUGAAAAUUUUGGAUUAUUCCUAUACGGCUUUACAGAUAAUAGCUUUUUCACCUUUAUGUUCAUGUUUUGAGUUCAAAAUUAUAAUUAACUACAAAUACCCGUGAAAAUUCCAGUAAUUCACAAACGUGUCUAGUACUGGUCAUGCAAAUUUUGUGAUUAUUUGGGCAAUAUGUUUUUGAGAUAAGGUUUUGUUUCAGCUGGAUGUUCAAAUUGAGAGUUCAAAAUUAAAAAUGUGCUGAAGAAAUAAAAAGGAUUCCAGCAAUUAAUAAACGUUCUGGCCAGCAAACAGGUAUAAUACGAAAUAAUGUCAGAACAAUGAUUUUAGAGGUAAUGACGUUCCAAUAUCUUUUGGACUACUAGAGUCAUAAUGAAUAGCAGAACAUAUAUUUCACAUUCAAAAAUACCUACAAUUUUUUAACGCAGCCUUGUCAUAUUAAAAAUUCAGAU